GACAGAGGGUGCAAACGUUGUUCGGAAUUACUGGGCGUAAAGCGCGUGUAGGCGGUUAUGCAAGUCGGGUGUGAAAGCCCGGAGCUCAACUCCGGAAGUGCAUUCGAUACUGCGUAGCUAGAGUACUGGAGAGGAUGGUGGAACUCUCGGUGUAGAGGUGAAAUUCGUAGGAUAUCGAGAAGAACACCGGUGGCGAAGGCGGGUCUCUGGGCCGAUACUGACGCUGAGGAGCGAAAGCGUGGGAGCGAACAGG
rnacentral:rRNA from 1 species